AGUUCUGAUUGCCUACAUCUUUCUCUCUCUCCUCAACCGCUUGCCCGCUCUACCCUCUAUAUCCCAUUCUCUCCCCUCUUUCAAUAUCUUUAUCAACCUAAUCGUUAACAAUGGCGAAAGAAUCCAAGACCACGAUGGAGUCAGUCAGGUCAUGGGUCUUUCAACACAAGCUUCGUACCGUCGGAUGUUUAUGGCUGAGUGGGAUCAAUGGAUCAAUCGCCUACAAUUGGUCUCGCCCUCAAAUGAAAACUAGCGUUAGGCUUAUUCACGCUAGGAAGGAAGAGUUGCUGAAUUAUUUCUGCCGGUUUUAGAGUAAUUCUCAAAAGGUGAAAGGAGAGACAAACAUAUCUUAUAUAUGCUCCAGAUACUAUUGUGCACCAGAACUAAUAUUCGGAGCAACUGAGUACUCAACUGCAAUUGACAUCUGGUUUAGGAGUUGUGUUCUUGCUGAACUGCUGCUUGGACAACCUUUAUUCCCUGGUGAGAGCGGAGUCGACCAGCUCGUGGAGAUUAUCAAGGCUUAUCAAAUUUGGAAACCUUGAACUUAGACUCAUGUAGGAUUGGUGAUCUGUAAGCUACAUAAAAGUGUAAGCUACAUAAAAGAUCCCGUAUUUGUCGGAUGAGAAUGCGGAUGAGGACCCGGAAGUUAGGGUUUCGUUCGAGGACGAGGGUCCGGUCGGGAAGAGGAUCAAAGAUCCGUUUAUGGCGAAGAGGAUCAAAGAAGCGUUUGUGGCGAAGGGUAAGGCGGUAGUAUUUUUGAAGGGUCCGUCACCGGGACUAAUGUGGAGUAGCAGGAAGGGAAGCUGAUUGUCCAGAAAUGGAGGUUUUGGGAAUUGGCCUGAUGGCGUUUUCUCUACGGAACACCCUAGGUACCGUGAAUAAUAAUCAAAUUGUGAAACGUGGAUACUAGUUAUGGGAGGAAAGAUAUGGAAAGAGAGCAUGGGACAAACAUGAGUUGUUGUCUUGUGGUUCGCAGCAAGGAAAUGAACGCUUUAAAUCUAAAGAUAUUUUCUCCAAACCCGUACACUCAAGAGGAGAUCGAUGAUGUUCGAGAAAAAUGGAGUAGAUAUUUUAUUAGUAGUUGUUUGUAGUCAUUUCUAGUUUUCAGAGAUAGAAAUUAAACUAUAACGUAGGUUAUUUUUUGGAAUACAAUUAUUUAUAUUUGUUGAACCAACUUUCUUGUUUGAAUUAAUACAAAAAUAUUUUCGCUA